rnacentral:rRNA from 1 species
GACGAAGCCGAUGCGUAACGUUGUUCGGAAUUCACUGGGCUUAAAGGGCGCGUAGGCGGCGGCGAAGUCGAAGGUGAAAUCCCACAGCUUAACUGUGGAAGCGCCCCCGAUACUGCUCGUCUGGAGGGAGAUAGGGGCGUGCGGAACUUCCGGUGGAGCGGUGAAAUGCGUAGAUAUCGGAAGGAACACCGGUGGCGAAAGCGGCGCGCUGGAUCUCUUCUGACGCUGAGGCGCGAAAGCCAGGGGAGCAAACGGG